UGGAGAGAUUUUUAUCUGUCGAGU
rnacentral:misc_RNA from 1 species